rnacentral:tRNA from 1 species
GGUCCCGUGGCGCAAUGGCUAGCGCGUGUGCCACAUAUGCAGGAGAUCUGCGUUCAAUUCGCAGCGGGACCA